rnacentral:lncRNA from 1 species
ACCUUAUGGCCUUCGCUUCAGCUUUCCGUCGCAUUUUUAACGGAUCAUCCACGCCGUCGCUCAAUAUACGCUCGCAGUUCUGUUCGAUUCGCUUCAGUUCCACGCUUCCGACGCUCACCUCUCCUAAGCUCUUCAUCAUCGGUAUGCCUCUUCAUUUUCUUUUAAUUGUAAUACGCGUUUUUCAGUUCUAUCACUGCUGUUUCGUUUGAUUCUAUUUUGUUUCUCAAUUCAUGUCAAAUCUUCGUGUCACACCAUAAUUCUUGAAUGAAUAAAUAUAAUCAAGGUACAACUAAUUCAUAGAAAUAAACAAGGAACAACCUUGUUAAAACCCAAAUAAUAAGAAACUCGGGCUAGGCCCCUUUGGAUCACAAGUUUUGCUUCAUGCUUCUGACAACCGACAUUCAUUAGCAUAAAUUUAGUAGUGAAGAGUCUAAGUUCGGUCAGGUAUAUCAUUUGACAUUUAACAUGAAGAUCUUAAGUUGGGAAAACAAAAGACGGAUAUGAGCAAUUGCUACAGCGGAAGUCUAACAUAGGAAAUUAACCAUAGCCUCAGCUCCGUCCCGUCAGCACCAUCCAGCCAACCUGAAAACAUUUGAAAGUAAUUUUGGGCUAAGUACUAAUGUACUUAGUGAGCAUGCAUUUUCUGAAACAUUUCAUAUUUUCAUAAAGACAGUUUAUCCAAUUAUACUUGACAUGACUUAGAAGGUUUUAAAUUGAAAGAACUUCUAAGCAUGUUAAAACAUUUCUUUCAUUUGUGCGCACAUGUCACACUCCCUUUUCUGUUACUCGCUGUGAUCCCGGACCUUUUAGCCACCGACGGAUCCAUUUCUCCCAUUGCACUUGCCCUGAGGACGUAACUCAGAUAAGUUGAAUUGACCUCGGGACGCUACCCAGGCAGGCCUUACAUUACAUGCUUCGGAACACAUCCAGCAAGCACCCUUAUAACGCCUCUUAGUUAGUGCCCGAUGGAGAUCAACCCACCAGGUCAGCUAACGAGUGUACACAAUUCUCAAAUAACGUGUUAGGCCAUAAGAGAACCUCAAUUGAUUCGUUGUGGCGAGCCUUAAACAGAGCAGAGUGCACAUAAACAUUUUAUUGGAUAAACAAUUUGCAUUUUAUUGAAUAAAUAAUUUGCAUUUCAUUGAAACAUUUAGAGCUUAAUAACUCAAUCAUACUUUAUACAUUUGGAAAGUAAGCCCACCUGGUUAGGCAAAGCCUGAAGAUCAUAAUCACAUACACUCAUCUUGAGAAAGCAGCGCUAAUCCCCUUGGUCCUCAAAGCCUACAAAAAUUCUAUUCUUAAUAGGUUUCGUGAAGCUAACUUAAAGUCUUAGUGGGUGCACUUAACUACUAUGAUUCAUCACGCCGAGUUUUCAAAAUUUAAUAGAUAAAUAAUUGAAAACUAAAUUGUUGAGCUAAGGAUACCAACAAUAUCCUUACUCGAUUUUCUUGGGUAAUUGGAUUUAAUGAAAACCAAUUUAAAUCAUGAGUACUUUUAUUUGCAAAAAUGCAUAUGCAAAAUUUAUUUCAAGCUUAAUCAUAUAAUAAGUAAUUACACUUAACAUAUGCACAUAAUAAUAAUGUAUUAUUAUUACGCAAAUUAUUCUUUAAAAUAAUUAAUCAAACUAAUGAUAGUCAAAUUAAUUAAAUUAGUAUAGCCCAAAAAAAUUAAUAGAAGGCAGCCCAAAAUUUAAAUAACUGAAGGCCGAACUAUUAAUUAAAAUUGAGUCCAUGUUAAAAUAAAUAAAAUCAGCCCAAAGUUUUAAAUAAAUAAGGGCCCAGCUAAGAUUUGGAAAUGGCCCAAGCUUUUUAAAAAAAUAGCAGCCCAAUCUAAUUAAGACCCGGCCCAACGCCCAGGCCCAAACCCAGGAGCCCUAACCCUUCUUCUUCACAGAUCACACGCACACACACAUAACCGGAAGUCUCUCUCUCUAUUCUCGCGACACACACAGACACACACAACAGACGCCGCCGGCCUCUCCUCUGGGGAAGGCAGCCUUCGGCCUCACCUCCCUCGACUCCGCGACCGCUGCCUCUCUCUCAGUUUUCACCGAGAAUCCGCCUCUUCUCCCUCAGAAAUCCGCCGCCGCGGAAGAUCGCCGGAGAGACGACGAUAAGCCGCCUCAACCGUCGGCUCUCUCUCUUUCGAUCCCGACUCCCAGCGAAGUGGCAGCGACAAGCCACCAGUCAGCCUCCCAUCUCCCACAAUCCAUAGAAAUACCUAUUAUAUUUCAUAUGUUGAUACUUUUUUGUUUCUCUACAUGCGAAUCGAUUUUCUACUUUCGAAUCGAUGGAUUCUGAACCCUCUAGAUCAGAUUGAGCUGGUGAGUGCUUAGAUCCUCUCCUUCUUGAGCUGAUUGAGCUACUUUCGAAUCGACGGUCGCGCGCCUAUUGAAUCGGUGGUGUCUAGAAUACUCUUUUUAAUUCCUCAAUUCUCAUUCUUACUGAACCAGCUCAACAGAACAGGGGUUUUGCUAGGGUUUAAUAUCUCUUCCCACUCUAACCUUGUACACGGUUUCCCAUUUCUAAGAAAUUCAAAACCUUAUGGCCUUCGCUUCAGCUUUCCGUCGCAUUUUUAACGGAUCAUCCACGCCGUCGCUCAAUAUACGCUCGCAGUUCUGUUCGAUUCGCUUCAGUUCCACGCUUCCGACGCUCACCUCUCCUAAGCUCUUCAUCAGCGGUAUGCCUCUUCAUUUUCUUUUAAUUGUAAUACGCGUUUUUCAGUUCUAUCACUGCUGUUUCGUUUGAUUCUAUUUUGUUUCUCAAUUCGUGUCAA